CCCAGACAAAAUGAGCUUCAGAGAAGAGCAAAAGCACACUUAGCUUUAUGACCCAGAAAAGGAGAUUUCAAACAACAUAAGGCUAGCUUAGGAAAUUGCGUGGUUAGUAACCCAAUUCAAUUCUCUCUCUUACCCUUACCCUUACCUUAGCUAGCUCUCCUUGUGUUGGUGUCUAUAUUUAGUGGGGGGGAACCCUUGGCUUCAGGGUGCAACCACAACCCCACAUCCUUCCUCCUUUUCCUCACACAAACCCCACUAUUAUUAGCCAGACCUUAAUCCCCCUACCCUUAGCCCACUGGUUUGCUUGUUUUAUGCAAAUUCAGUAGGGUUUUUGUGGGGCUUUCAAACCCAUUUGAUUAUGACUUAGUUUCAUGCCAUCCUCUAUAGAUCUCCCUGAACCCUCUGCUUGUGCUUCCCCCCACCCUCAACUCAAUAUAUACUACCUCCAUCUCCUUCCACUCUUACUCUCCAUCCCCUUCUACCUCUAAACAAUUCUCUCCUCCUCUCUUUAUGUCCCUUUCUCUCCUUUUCCCCCUACCUAUCUCCACCAAUUCCACCUUCAUCUUCCUCCCCAUCAAGGACUAUCUAUAUAUACAUCUAGUAUUAAUCAUGAAUUGUACCAACUAUUGGAGGAUAUAUAUAUAUAUAUUUAUAUAGGCCAACUAUUCAACAAAGCACGGCAUUGUCAUUUUCAAAGGCAUAGGUUUUGCUUCCUCGUGACUGAACAAAGGUACAUCUGUUUUUAUUUUUAUCUUCCUUUUUUCAUUAUUGCAAAAGUCUUGAAGGAAGACAUUUUUUUUCUAGGGUUCUUUCGAGUGAUGCAUAUAUAUGUGAUCUGCAGAGUGUUAACUGGGGGAACAUAUUCCUUCAUUUACCUGCUGGGGGCUCACAUGUGGGUGUGGUUUUUUUUUUCUGUUUUGUUUAGUAGUUUCAAAUCAUUUCACUACACUUGAAACGAGGGCAUGGGAAAACAGCAAGAAACCCCAAGUUACCGUAAAUUAGAACUAUUCCUGACAUUUAACAUGGAAGUUAUAAAAAUUUACUAGCUCACCCCUUCUUGUUACCACCAUACUUGUCUGUCUCAUGGACAUUUCAUAUGACCUCUGAUUAUACCAACAAUAGCCUAAAAAGAAGCAAUACUGUGUCAUAUAGUAUACAGUUAUAUACAGGCAUUUAUUGGUGGUAUUAUCUAUUUAGUAUUUUACUUUUAGACUCGAUCGUUAGUCAUUAAUAAAUAGUAUAUUUAUACUAUAUAUAUCCGGAGGUAAUUUGCUACAUAAUCGCUGCUGGUUUAUUUUUAAUUUUUAGGAGAAUCUUUGUUAUCUUGGAAGAAAAUAAUUUCGUUUUAUUAUUUUCUUAUGAACAUAAUCAAUUAAUUGCAUAUAUCAUGCACCUAUAAAAAUGUUACAUGUUUUAGGGUUAUUCUCAUGAAAUUUCCAUUUGAAAUAUGAUUCCUUAAUAUUAACAUCAACAAUAAUGACUUCAAAGUAAGCAAUAUUCUAUCCUAACAUGCUCACUCUCCUGUGAUGAACAAGUUCGUAAUUUAUUCUUUCUCCUUAAUUCUUUCCUAAAUUAAUGCCCAUUUAUGACUUGUGAGUAUAUUUAAUGGAUACGCAAUUAGUCCUAAGAAAUCAGUGCUUUUAUUGACAUAAUAAACUGUCAUUUUACACUUAUUUCUCAUGGAAAUUUCACUCAUCAAAUGACCUAUGAUUAACUAUAGGCUAAACUGAAGCAACAGUAUGUCAUAACAUAUAUAGUAACGAAUUUAAUAUGCUUACCACUAGCAUAUUGUCAGAACGAAAACAUUUUACGGUUAACUGGUCAUUUCAUUUGCAUGAUCAAUAUUGUUUUGCAACAGUAAUCUAUUUAUUUAUUAUGUCCUAAGAUACUUAAUUUUUGCACCGCUCAAACAUUGGUUGCCAAUUGAUAAACAACCCUUAGGACCGAGUUGUAGCUGAUCAUCUUUCAUACAUAGUGAGAACGAAAACAUUGUACGGUUAAUUGGUCAUUUGCAUGAUCAAUAUUGUUUUGCAACAGUAAUAUAUUUACUUAUCUGUUCUUAGAUACUUUUUACCCGCUCAAACGUUGGUCACCAAUUCAAUAUAAUGAACCCUUUAGAGUUAAGAGAAGACUACGUAUAUAUAUAUAUAUAUGCUAGUUGUAGAAUCUGGUUUAAAGAAGAGGAUGUUAGCUAUUUAAACCAAAUGUACUGAUGAACAACCUCUUUCUUCUCAAUUUCUUAACCCGGUUGCUCAUCUUGAAGAAAAAAGAAACAUAGUUAAUUAUAUAUGGGGAUUAAUUUAAGAUAUGGAAAUGAAGAAUCAUCAACCUGUUCCUGCUAGCUAGCCACAAAUUCUACAAGGGUGUGUACUGAUAAAAUAGUUAGCAGAAGAGAGGUAAACGAAUGGUAUUAUAAUUAGUAAUUAUUAUUAUUAUUAUUCUAGUUGCUUAGCCUUAUCGAUCUGCGUAAUGUGUAAUGGACCAUAUCCAGUGGUGUAGGCAUAGUUAGUGAGAUGAAGAUGGUGAUGAUGAUGAAAGGGAAUUUUUCACUCUUUGAGCUUAGGUAGGUGGUCUGUGAAUACACACACGCAUGUCUGGCCAGGGCUUGAAGAAAGUAAAAAAAGGGCAAGGAUCCUGGGAAAAGUAAAAGCAUGAUUGUAGCAGCUAGCUGGAGGAUUAUCAUUAUAGCCACUGGACUGGGGAAUCUCAUACAACAAAAAGGAAUGGACCACUCUCUCUCUCUCUCUCCCCUUUCAAUUGGCUUGCAGGGAAUAUGGUAUACGGUCAAAGCAGGUCAAAAGCUUACAAAAGGACAUUAUUGGUCAGGCUAUUGUGGGACCACCCACACCCUAACACCCUCCUGGGGAAAUCAAUUCUGGGAUUUUGUGUUUUUUUUUCUCUUCUUCUCAAACAUUUCACUGUACUUAGUUUGCAAUCUUUUUUUAUUCCUACUAUAACCAUUGCAAUCAAUCCUUUAAUUGCCAAAUAAAGUAUCAUUUAAUUUUAUAUUCUUAA